UUCGCAAUGCCCGAAAGGGUGACGAAGCGACGCCGCGUGGGUGAGGAAGGCCUUCGGGUUGUAAAGCCCUGUCAGGAGUUAAGAAAUAUAAGUGCGUUAAUACCGCAUUUAUUUGACGAAGGCUCCAAAGGAAGCCACGGCUAACUCUGUGCCAGCAGCCGCGGUAAUACAGAGGUGGCAAGCGUUGUUCGGAAUUAUUGGGCGUAAAGAGCACGUAGGUGGGUUUGUAAGUCAGGUGUGAAAGCCUUCUGUUCAACGGAAGAAUUGCAUCUGAAACUGCGAGUCUUGAGUGUAGGAGGGGAGAAUGGAACUUCUGGUGGAGCGGUGAAAUGCGUAGAUAUCAGAAGGAACGCCGGCGGCGAAAGCGAUUCUCUGGCCUAUUACUGACACUCAGUGUGCGAAAGCUAGGGGAGCAAACGGGAUUAGAUACCCCGGUAGUCCUAGCCGUAAACGAUGGGCACUAA
rnacentral:rRNA from 1 species